rnacentral:tRNA from 1 species
GCCUUUGUAGCUCAGUUGGUUCGAGCACUGCACCGGAACCGCAGGGCCGUAGGUUCGAUUCCUACCAAAGACC